CUAAUAAUCUAGGGAAUCUAUAAAAAGGUGGCUUACACACAGGAGCUCUAUAGGCAAGGUAACUAAUGGGAUACUUUGAGCUGAUCAGGCAACUCUGAAGUUCCCCUUCUACAUCUAACAUCUCCU